UACCAGCUGGUAAUGCCAGCUGAGGGGGAAGGCUGCUUCUUAAGAGAGGGGGGAAAGGACUCAGUUCUGAUUAGAAAGGGCAGACUGAAGAUUCAUGCUGCUGAUUGAACUACUACGUAACAAGGGAGAGGGCAGCCAGAGAAAAUCCAGCAGGGACCUUCAAGCCAGUCAGGAAAGCUUGAAAUACUUACUAAUAAACUACUCUGGAAGAACCACUUCUUUUUGUCUCUGUGCCAAGGCUACUCUCUCUGUCUUCACCCUCUGAAACUUGAACUCUGUCCGCAUUCCUGCCAACUUUGAUAGCCUUUUCGAGUUGUCAUUUAUCAUCGGUGCGGUAGUUAACCUUGAUGCUACAUUUUUCCUUGUUGAAAGCACCUGAACACUGCUGAAAACAUCACGUUAAAAAGCAUGGAAGCAAGCAUACAGCCUUGUUUCACUCCAUCGAUGACUGAGAAAAUGUGAGAGCAUUGUCCAUUAUCAAAACCCCCCGCAAGUAUAUCAGAAAAUUGAUAUGUGAUACCGACAACUUUUCCAGGCAAUGAAAUUUGGACAUAAUUUUCCAUAAUUCCUCAUGACUGACCAUCAAAGGCCAGAGCAAAGGUCAGGUCAACAAACAUUAUAUACAGACCCAUUUCUCCUGAAACUGUCGGGCACCAUACACCAUAAUGACCAUUCCCGGUCCUUUCAGAAGCUAUACUGGCUCUCCGAUAGAUGAACAUUUUCCAGUUGAAGGAUCAGCCUGUUAAGGAAGACUCUGGCAAGAAUCUUACUAACGAUUAUUAAGAAAGAGACCCUCCCCUCUGGGAUUGUCACAGGACUAUCUAUUUCUUUAACCUUCAUAGAAAUGGACAAUCUGUAAGGAGUUACAGCUGCAUGGUUUAUUAAUUACCAAUGUUUGCUGCAAGACUGCAUCCUUAAGAUUUUAUUGCAUUUAUUGCAUGAAAGACAAGGUCAUGAGAUGCACACAUCUUCAGUAGUAAAAGAUCAUUACUAUUGCCAUUUCUGAAUCCAUUCCUCCUAAAUACUCCCUGCCACGACUGGUAAUCUUUGCCUACUCUUGCAUUAAAGUCACCCGGAAUUAUAAGCUUCUCUUCUUUUGGCACAUUGAUAAUGAGACACUCCAGGUUUUCCUACAAUUUUUCUUUGACCUCAUCAGGAUCCAUCAUGGUGAAAUAAUACACAUGGAUGAUGGUGGUGGAGUGCUUUCCUACAAGGGGCAAUUGAAUUGUCAUGAAUCUGUCAUUCAGUCCUUUUGGUAGGUAUAUAAGCUUGUUGACUAGGUUAAUUUUGAUUGCCAAACCUACACCAGCUUUAUGAUGCCCCUCUCCCCUGUGACCACACUAGAAAAAUGAUGUAUCCAGUCCUGAUUUCAGGAUUCUGCUCUUCAUUUGCCAGCCUUGUUUCACUCAGAGCUGCUAUUUUUAAUACCUGUUGAGUUGUCUCACAAAAAGAGCUGUUUCUUAUUCAGAUCUACUAGAUUUCAUGUUGUGUAUAAGUGUGAGCACAUUGUAUAUACUGAUGGUGACUGGAAUCAUCUUUGCAAGACUUUGGGUACAUUUUUGUAUGUGUUUUAAUCACAGGGUAGUAUCCCUGCCCGUGUAGUAAUCAGACCAGGGUUGGGUAAUAAAAAAUAAUUUUAGAGCACCUUUUCUAGCCU